AUUGAACGCUGGCGGCAGGCCUAACACAUGCAAGUCGAGCGGAUGAUUGGAGCUUGCUCCAUGAUUCAGCGGCGGACGGGUGAGUAAUGCCUAGGAAUCUGCCUGGUAGUGGGGGACAACGUUUCGAAAGGAACGCUAAUACCGCAUACGUCCUACGGGAGAAAGCAGGGGACCUUCGGGCCUUGCGCUAUCAGAUGAGCCUAGGUCGGAUUAGCUAGUAGGUGAGGUAAUGGCUCACCUAGGCGACGAUCCGUAACUGGUCUGAGAGGAUGAUCAGUCACGCUGGAACUGAGCAACGGUCCAGACUCCUACGGGAGGCAGCAGUGGGGAAUAUUGGACAAUGGGCGAAAGCCUGAUCCAGCCAUGCCGCGUGUGUGAAGAAGGUCUUCGGAUUGUAAAGCACUUUGAGUUGGGAGGAAGGGCAGUAAGUUAAUACCUUGCUGUUUUGACGUUACCAACAGAAUAAGCACCGGCUAACUUCGUGCCAGCCGCCGCCGUAAAAC
rnacentral:rRNA from 1 species